GCCUAGAGUCUUAGGAGCCCGGAUAACUAGGAGCCUGUAGUACUAGGAGCCUGUGGUACUAGGAGCCCGGAGUACACGGAGGCUGGAGUACUAGGAGCCCGGAGUACACCACCUCAUAGGGACCCUUCCUACUGAACAUAUGCUGCAUUAUACUGUUCCCUGAUAAAAGACAAAUGUUUCUUUCUAUAUUGUUCUGGUAACAUUACUUUAAAAUAAAAGUGUGCAAUACACUGGUUUUCAUUGAAUUAUUACAUUUUGCGCAUAAUGCGAUUAAUCACCAUUAAUCACAGAAAAGUCCAGCGAUUAAUCGAUUCAAUUUUUUCAUCUUUGCUCAGCACUAAUAUUAUUAUGGUAUAUUAACCAUACAAGCACUGGAAAAAUAUCUUUUAAAUGAUGCCAUCACAGUGUUUGCUGCAGCACUCUUGCAGUAUUGUUGGGUACCACAAUCGCUCUUGCAUACAUUUUAUCUGAUAAAAGAUUCAACCCAUCCCACACAGUGUGCUCUCGUUAAGGGGCCCGGGGAGCCUCUGGAAAUGGACAAGCCAACCAGCUACCUAGCCAGUUGUCCAGUCCGUAUAUGUCGACGAUAGGUAUAAUAUGGCAGUGGUCAAGAAAGCAGAGCACAAAGUCAUCCAGCGCUUACUGCCGGCCUACGUGGACUUCUGCCCAGGGGGCUGAACGCGAGUCAUGAAUGUAAUCCGCUGAGCGUAAGUAGGGCUGAAUGGAUCGGGUUAUUUUGUAAUGGCUCUAAUCAUCUCGCAUUAAUGGAUGGGAGGGAGACAAUCAUUUGAAAGCAAGGAAGGAAGACAUUAGCAACUCUUGCAGACGUAAUUGACCUCAUUGUGUGCUUUACUGUACUUUGAAAACCGCCUCUCUGUUUGAUUGCCACGUCAAUAAGUGGUACAAAGUCAGUGGGGAAGAGAAGCACAAACAGGCAAGAUGAGUACUGACUUUACUAAAGAAAGGAGUAAUGAAACAAAGAAUCUGUAAGAGCUUUGCUUUACAGAACCAGCCGAUAUACUAACAGCAUCAAAAACUUGGCAUAUUUAUUGCCAAGUGAGUUACACAUUGUUGCGGAAAUGAAAUUAUUGUUCUGUCUUAGUGGACAGAGAAUCUAUGAAAGUGUUUUUUUUCAGGAUGAUUUUAUCAGACAGGAACAGGAACAGCAUGGUGGCUGUGUUGGCUAAUGUUGUAAGGUUUUAUUGACUCUCUUCCAUUUCUUUCCAUUUUUUCUAACACACAUUCAACAGAAUUUGCUCAGUGAUUGUAGUGAAAUAUGAAGAUUCAUAAAUUUAUGAUAAAAUACGGUUACCAAAUAUUAAAUCGGCACAUUAAAACGUUGAUGAACCCACCUGCAGAUGGGAAGAAACUGUAUUUGUACAGUGAUAUUCUGCAGCCUCCACCCAGAAGGGAGGCACACACGGUUUGUGUCCAUGGUGAGAGGCGUUGGGGCUGCGUAAAACCAACUGGCCAAUCAUUUUCAACCUUUCACAGAAAGGUGUUCGCCAUUGCACUUAUGAGCAGUUCAUGCAGGUGAGUGUAUCAGGCCGUUUGUCCGCGACUUGGUCAUAAAAGUCUCGUUAAUGGCGGCGUUCUUCAGCCUCACCGCCUCCUCCCCCACUUCCGCUGUUGACCUCUCCGAUCGGGGGUUGCUUCAAGCGCUACUGCUCCUCUUCUGGAUGUACCUCCAACUAACGACGUCCCAUUAUGGUGCGAACAUGUCGCGGUGGCAGCGAAUGACGUAGCGGGUCCUAAAUCAAACAAAAGCAGAGUAAAUGGUAGAAAGAGAACUUCCUCCCUCGCUGAUACAAAGGUCUGGAGGUGACGCUCUGCUGCUCUGCAGAGCGAUUUAUUAAGAUGACGUGCAUGAGCGAGAGAGACGGAGAAUGUAGGAGAGGACACACAAAGCCAGACCGAGACCCGAAACCACAUGAAACAAAAGGUCACGGGUCAGACUCAAAGCCGUAGCCGUGCUCAGUUAUUGGGCGUUCUAACUCAAUUACUCCGAAUUAUAGAUAUUCCAUGUCGAAUGUUCUUGUAAUUACAUAGCCACGAUUUCUUGGAACUAUGUUUCCAAGAUAUUGUCUAUGAUUAAACCUGAAAAGAAAACUAGCUGUAAAAUAAUUCUGCCGUUUCUUUAUUUUUCUCGUUGCUCGUGAGCAGUUCACCCAAAGCCCAAUUUGUUUGUUGCCAUGUGAGCGGCAAUGUUGCUCAAACAAAGAUGGCAGCAGGUCCCGAUCAAAUUACAGCGCUGAUUAAAUUGUGUCUGACGGUAUUGUAAGCUCCCACUGAACAUGUUAUAAGACCAUCAUUACACUGUUGAAAGAAACAGACACAGAGGAAAAGGAGGACGGCCUGAACCUUGAUCCGCUCGAGAUACUCAUGGAUAUUUAAGGUGUUUUAAUUUCAUACAUACAAAAAUAUUUUAAAUAUGAAAUCUCAGCCAUUCAGACCGCAACUUCUGAGGCGGUUCAUCCAUCGCUUUGGCGUCUCGAGAAGGAAGACGGGCGAGCGGGGGGGGGGGGGGGGUCGUCCUCCGACACGACGACCGGUGGUUUGAUCCCCGGCUCUGCUUUGGAGUUUUGCAACAUAUUGUGUAGAUGCUCCGCAAACACCAGAGACGGGUUUGUGCGUCCUCGGUACAGGCGGCCGCACUAGUACAGUUCCUGAGUCCGUGUGACUGGGGGGUCGCCAUGACAACAGAACUCCCCGGAGCAUGCCGAGAGCACAGUGACGUCACUCGUCUUUGUUUAUUGUGUGUGUGUGUGUGUGUGUGCACGUUCCUAUUUGUGCAUGUGGCAACUUCUGAAUUGACGGCUGGUCCAGCAGAUGCUCCUGGAGUAAACUUCAUCUGAGAAACGUGUGUUUGAUUGUGAGGAAAUAUGCAUUUGGGGACCAGUUGGCGGGUUAGACCUUCAGAGUGAGGACCUAUAAAUUGAGGACAUGUUGGCUGUCUUUGAGGGUUCAGAUUGGAUGUGAUUUAGGUUAGAGUUGUUGUUGUGUGUGUGUUUGUGUCUGUUUGAGCGAGUCCUCAUCUAAUGGAGGAGAGUUCUUUCAGGGUCAAUAUAUAUAUUAGGUUUUGGGUAAUGUUUGGAAGAGGAAACUUAGGCUUUUGUCUCCAGGAAAUGAAUGUGAGUCAAUGUAAUGUCCUCUGAAGUAACGGCGAGAGGACGGUGUGCGGUUGCCGCUCAAUGCUCUCAUCUCUCUCCCUACACAACACAACGAGGGCCACAUUAAGAAGCGGCAAUGUAGCGCCGGUCUAUGCGCGUUGUGCGCCCACGCAGACGUCACACACACCCAGAUAACACACAUGCUGCUAAAGGGCGAGCAUCAGAGGAAGUGAACGCGGCCCUUUCGCCUCUCCAGCACACGUGUCCUCCCUCUGAAUGUCUUUUGUCCUUCCGCUGAGAUGCAGCGUUGCUGUUUGCCUCCCUACGGACGUUAGCGUGUUCUGUAGCCCACGUUGCUCAUAUGUAUUGAUUGAAAGCAAAUUAAAGGCAAAAAUAAAAUGUGGCCUUUGUUGUUGUCUGUUAGCAGCCCUUUGUGUCAUUUUGUUUCGUUCUAGUCACAUUCGUCAUUAUGUGUGAAAAUGAUGGUAAAGGUCAUUUUGAAGAUGUGUCAUUGUUUUUGGCUAAAAGGGAGACAAAGUCCCUCACAGCUCUUAAACUAAAGCACCACUCAUAAAUAUGUUCAACAUUAGUCUCUGUCUCUCUCUCAGACCCACCUCGCUAUCAAAAUGUAAUACAACUAUUUUAAAAAGCCACUUUCUGAAAGAUUAUUCUUGUGAUUUAGUUAGUUCUUCUGCACCUCUGACAACGUAAUAUGUUUUUGAUGGUUUAUGACCUUGUACUACAUCAAAUUAACAUGUUUGGUCAAACAUUAAUAAGAGUAGGAAGCCGAAGGCCAACCAUUAUUAGUUUGCCAUAAAUUCACAGAAAUGUAACAUUUGAGUCCCCUCCAUCCUUAAAGGGGCACUAAUCAAUAUUGUGUAGAAACCUACAGAUCAUUCUCACCUUAUUCUGCCCAACAGAUAUCGAAUAAUGAUAACCUUUAAUUAUAGUAACAUUACAUGUCGUCUCUCAAAUCUCAGGUUGUUAAUUAUCCAACAAACCAAUAACUGCUGAAUUAUCCUGCAUUGCAUUAAAUUAAUCUGGUCUAGUAACAUUUUGAGAUUAGCUCUUGAUAUUUUAAACAGGAAUCCAGAAUAAGCCCUCAAAAUACAUGAUCCAGUUUCUCGCCUGGGUAACCCAGACCUCUAAGGUCUAACCAGAAGAUACAGAAGUAUCUCAACCUGAGGUAGAAAUGCACACGCAGCGUUCUUCUCAGAUGGAAACAUCCGGUUCUGAGAAAUGAGGCCAAUCCGGAACUACAUUAAACUUGCAUUCUCUCAAAUAUCCAGCAGGGGGCGACUCCACUGGUUCUAUAGAAGUCAAUGAGAAAAUGACUCCUACCUCUGUCUUUUUCCUUUAUUUCCGCAGUUUUCAAUGCCUCAUCAUGUACCUUUAAGCAAAUCGUGGUCCGUUGAGUCAAAUAGACCGCAAAGUGGGGCGGUUCCACCUUGUGAUGGACAGGUCGUUACCACGGGGUUGUCUGGCCAGCGAGUGGUCGGUUUUUGUUUAUCUGUCUAACUAACGGACUUCAACUCCUCAGCACAGUGCAGAACGACGGACAAACCGGACUCAGUGUGGAUAUUUACAUGCAGUGUGAGUCUGCAUGUGUUUGCACUGCUCCAUGAGGUGUGUUACUGUCACUGAAUGAGCCACCAAAGUGUCUGCUGACACUCUUUUGGAUCUUUUGCCUCCACCGAGUAUUUCCGUCCCUCCCUAUGAGCCCGCGUGUUUGGUCAUGAAUUAUGCAUCGCUCCGUUUCCCCUAAUAACACUAACUGUGACAGUUUGUGCUCGCUGAUGCAUCAGCAGUGACUGACGGGAGUAUUUCUGUCCUCGGUUGUUGCUCCAAAUAAGAGGAAACUCUUUACAGAGUCUCGUUAAACGGUUGAUGAUUUGAGAUAUUGCAGGUCAUGAGGUUUAACACAGCACAGUAUAGAAAAUAUAGAAAUAAAGCCUUAAAUUGAACGAGCGAGUCUCUCUCCUCUCGGUUUUUCCACUUGUCAAUCAUCUCGGUGAGCUGUCUGCGUCCCAAUGGCAACCGAGGAAGAUGAGGAAAAGCCGCAGCGCUGAUAUUUUAAUUAACUUAACUGUUUUCUCUUUUUUUCCUGCUGGUCUCCACCUCAUUUUUUUCCACUGCUUCUUGCUGCGAUAGUUACACUGCUCACUGAUGGAUAUACGACACUAAUAAACACGUCUAGAGAAAUCAUUCUUGAAAUGAAGGAUUACAGUUCUUAUAGGAAUAGAGCUUACACAGUUGUUUUACUUGCUUGCCAAUAAUUAGAUGAUAUGGUCGAUACCACUCUGUUGGGUAAAUGUAAACUAGAGCCAAUGGUUCGUUAAAUAGAUGACAUUAUUGGCGUUCUGUUAACAACAGAAAGGAAAGGUAACAAAAAACAGCCUCCUAAAAGUAUGUUCCUGUAAAAUGAAACUGUCUUUUUAAUUAUGUCAUAUAACAAAGACAAACCAUGUUUUAAUUUAAGCCUAACCAGCUCUUUUUCUUUAUUUUUUCAGCGUCGUUUUUGUUUAAAUUUAAAAUGUUGAUCACAUUCUUAAAACUACAGCUGUAGAAUGUUUUUCCUUCUAAGCCUAAUUGGGAAUGUAGGUUGUUUGGACAAUUAUCAGUUCCAAUAAUAGUUGAGCAGAGCCGCGCGCGACUCACGUAAUGGCUGUUAACAUUAACCCAUUUGGCGCCAGAGAGCAGCAAGCGCACCUUUAUCAAUAGGAUUUCAGUUUAGUUAUUGUUCCUCCUAAAAUUACUGCACUGAUAGGUUAAAGUUAAAAAUACACAAAGUGGGUCCGUAACGUUAAACCUUUCUACAUGCCGAGAAAGCCGGGAAGGUCAGGCUACAAGCUAUUAACGUUAGCUAACAUUAGCCAGCGAGCGUUAGCUAACGUUAGCUAUCAGCUAGAGUUAGCUAGUCAAUUGACAUUGGUUAGGUUCGACUUUUAGUGGCCACAAACUCACAAGAAAGUCAAACAAGAAAAGGAUUUGAUGCAUCACACAUUUAUAUUGAUAGCAUCAGCACUAGUUAGAUAAUUAUUUUCACUUAAAUUAGUCUAAUAAUGCUAACCUAGCCUUAAUGAUGUAGGCAACAUUAAGCUAACGUUAGCAGCUGAAGGCCUCAGUUAACAUUUUAUUAACACACAGCAGACAGCCAACUACUUUUCUUGGUGGCAACUAAAUCCGGUUAAAGUGAAAAUAAAAUACAGCCAUGAAUUUAAGAUGUUUACUUACUGGAAACGUAGAGCCUUGGAUACCCAGACAGCCAGGAGAUGCAGCAAAUCUUUAAAAGUGAGAUAGAUUCCCGCGAGAAAGAUUCCCGCGUCCUCCAGGGGCAGUUUGUGGUCGCA
ensembl:lncRNA